UGCGUGCGGGCGCAGGGAGGGAAAGGCCGCUCUGCCGGCGGGCCCGCCCCCGCACGCCCGGCUGCUGGGGCGCACGGCGUGUGCCGCCGUGUCAUGUACACUCACGAGUGUGUUUGUACCGAGGUACCUGCCUGAGAACGCGGGAGGGAAGAGGAACACCAAGAAAUACAGGUACUACUCUUGAAGUCUGUCACAAGCUCAAGAGCUCUCAGAUGACCAAGAGAUUUCUUGAUGGCAUCUUCCUUUUACGUUGCUGUUGUGCUAAGUUUUAAAUUCUUCCUCAGGACACUGGCCCACUGAUUUGGUGAGCAGAACAACUCUGGAACUGUUAUGGAACUGUCACAAUACAACUUGUGUCUUGCUCCCCAGUGCUCUUUCCUGGGGCUAGGGUGGGUGGAGCAGCAUCUGAGGAAACACAGCAGAAACCGGAAAAAAUGCCUUCAGGAUGUUUAAGCCAAAAUAAACCAUAAAGGUGUCAUUAUGGAGCCUACCCAGAGAUUUAAAACAAUGUAUCAGAUAAAGCAGCCAAGGCGAGGCAGAUACCCAGCUCCAGGGCUGCUGAGAAAGCAACGGAAGGCAGAGAGGGUCUGCCCAGCCUGAAACAAAAGAAGAGUCCCAGAGAAAGGGCAGGGCAAAGUGGAUCCAGGAGGUUGUCUCAGACAAAAGAAGCCUACUGGAAAAAGGAAGAUUAUCUGGAAGCUGCACACACAGAGGCAGGGAAACUAAUGAGCAACUAUCUGAGGCUGCUUCUCCUUCUACAACCACGUGGUCACACGAAUUUAUCCAAGCUCUCUGCAGAGGGGGUUAACUUGAGGAACAGAAAUAGGCAUGCACAUCUGCUGUUUUCAAACAACUUACCCAACUGCUAUGUAACAUUUUCUUUCAGAAGGCUGUGCUUGCAGUCACUUUAAUCCACCGGUCACAUCCCGCUAGAUGUGCUGACUUAGAAGCAGAGCCUGGCAGCAGUCAUCACAGGAUCAUCUCUGCAAGAGGGACGUAUUGCAGAGUUGCACCCCAGGAGUGGCAGAAGUCUGUUCAGCCAUGAAGCUGGUGUAAAAGGAAGGUUCAGAAGCAGCAGUAGGCAGGGCAUCUCUCAUGAAACCAGAGCCCAGAAGUCUGUGUGUCUUCACUUCUUCCUAAGGAAGCUGCAUUGAGGCACUCUAUUGUUUUCCAUCUCUGCCCAUCCCCGGUAUUUUUCCCUUGCAUGCCAAGCUCCCAGGUUGUGCAAGCAGCUUUUGUUCCUUAAUUCGCAUCAAAAGCAUGUUUUCCUAACAGAUGUGUCAAUUCCCUGCAGUGCUAAACCUUUACAAGUACUGGGAUCGUCACAAUUCCCAACGAUCAAAAUGAGUAGUUUCGCUGGAUUAUCUUCACAGCUCACAGAGGCAGGCUUUGAACACUGGGUCCCUCCCAGGUAUCAGAUACACAUCAUGCGUCUGCAGUACAGCCUCUACAUCCAGGCCAGAUAGCCAGAUGUACCACACUGAAAUCAAGGGAAUGUUUCAGGCUUACAUGGAAUAGCUAAACAUUUGUCAUUUGUCCUUCUAUGGUUUCAGAUUCAUGGUGCAAAGGAAACAUUCCACAAGUUAUAUACACAACUGAGAAACAUUUCUUUCAGGGCAGAAACAUAAAUGCAGAAAUGAUGGUGCUCAGAGCCACUGUGCAGCCCCAGUUAGUCCUUAGCCACGUUACCAUCAACAAAUAACCACAGUUAUAUGAAAAGACUCUACAAACCAAUAGUAGCUGUUUCCAAAUUAAUGGAUACCAAUCUCUUUCCUUGGCCCUGUCUUUCCCACAUCCCAGCCACAAGCAGACUGUAUGUGCAGAGGGAAUUAGAAGCCACCAGUCAGAAAGUCAAAACAAGGAAGUCCGUUGCUGGUAUCUGUUGCAAGAUGUCUUCAGGGAAGAAGAAAUCUUGGUCCUGAAAAACAACUGGCAGUCCAAUGCUUACUGCUUCUUCCUAGUCCUGGUUUUUCUUCCCUUCUAUCUGCACCUUUAUUGCCUUUCCCCCUUUUUUUACCUCCUGUUUGUUUUUCAGCUGAGGGACUUGAGCUCCAUUUCACCCAAGCUUUCUCCAGCUCCAGUUCCAGCCUGCCUGGGGCCACCUGCUCAGUCACUCCAGUCCUUAAGCCAGUCCAGAAGUGUGUUGUUGGCUGCUCAGUUCUGACUCACUCUGCUGCUGCCAGACCCAUUGCAGAAGCAGGAGGGUCACUGCUGCCUGCAACACCCACAUUGCAAAUCCCAUCCUUCUUGAAGGCUGCCUGUUGCAGAGCCAGGCAGAGGAGGGAUGCUAUGGGAUCAGUUGUGCAGCUACCCCAGCACCUUUCUCUCCACCUUCUCGUUUUGCCUUCUUCCCUGCUCUAGGCCGGGGAGCAGCUCCCCUGUGCCAGCAAGGUACCUCACAGCACCGGCCUGUGGAAGCAGGGGGAACUACAGCAAAAGGUCGGGUAAAACCCACAAGAAGCCGACACGAGCCCAGGAACCUGCUCGCCCUGCUUUGUCCUUUGCACGCAGAUGGCAACAGCGGGCUGGUGAGCGUUCAGCUGCACACGUCUGCGGGGUUACAAGAGGGAUCAGACAGAAGGCCUGGCUACGGCUCUUCCUCUGUAACUCACUUUGUCCAAGCAGGGAAAACCAGCCAUACUACAGCAUAAGCAAAUACAUUGAAAAGUGAGGCCAGGGCAGCAAAUGGUCUGUUACAUUUGCUCAGCUAGGCAGAAACAAAAGCCAGGCUUGCACUAUUUGCUUUGCACAGCAAAUUAGUGCUCAGCGACUCUUUUCUGGGAGGCUGAAGGGGAAGGGUUUUCCUGGAUACUUAACUUAUUAAAGUAUUGCCAAAUCUGCAGAAAUAAUUUACUCCUGAUGGAUACAGUACUGAUGAGUUUCACAGCCUGCCAGACACAGAGGGUAAAGCCCUGAAUAAAUCACAACAAAUGAAAAUAUUGUUAGCAGUUUCAUAAUUUAAUGAAAAAGUACUUGUAAAAAGGGGACAUCUGAAAAAGACCGAGUCCAUAUUGGAAAAUUGAAUAUAUAUAUAUUUAUAUAUAUAAAACAAAAUGCAAAAACACAAAAAAAAUUUGACAAAUAAGGUUAAGAGGUAAUACUUCAAACAGUUAGCCACCGAACGCACAAUAAAAACUAGCAAAUGCACUUUGGGGACAAUACUUGAGAACUACAUAACCAAGGGCUCCUUCAUAUGUCUAUUAAAAUAAUGUAAAAAUUAGCAAAACCAUUGCCCAGACUGGAAACAACUGAAUUGAUAACCCCAGAAGAGCAGAAACGCUGAGUUUUGCUGAAGCACCAUUUUCCUCUCUCUUCUGUCAUAUGCUUCCAGCCACAAAAUAACAUGAACACUUUGCUGACCUCCCAGAUAAGUGUUCCCAAUAAAAGCUUCGUAAAAUUUCAUGGCCAGUGAGAGAGGAUUACUAAUAAAUAUUGAAGGAGAACUAAGAGAAUCAGAACCGGAAUACAAAUGAACAGACAUUUGUUUACUUAUUCUGAAUGACCCAUGGCUUAGAACACAAAGCAUUUCCCAUUAAAAUAAAAUAUGUGGAAACCUAAAUUGCUACUGCAUAUUUACACCAAAAGAAAUAAUUUUGGAGAUACAGCUCUAGAAAGAUCAAUUACACAAAUAUACAUAAAAUCAAGAAGUAAAAAAAAAAACAAAAAAAUUAAGAUGCAUGAAG